GGGGAAUCUUGCACAAUGGGGGAAGCCCUGAUGCAGCGACGCCGCGUGAACGAUGAAGCCCUUCGGGGUGUAAAGUUCUUUCGACAGGAACGAUAAUGACGGUACCUGGAGAAGAAGCUGCGGCUAACUACGUGCCAGCAGCCGCGGUAAUACGUAGGCAGCGAGCGUUGUUCGGAGCUACUGGGCGUAAAGAGUGCGUAGGCGGCGAGCCAAGUUUGGUGUGAAAUCUCCCGGCUUAACCGGGAGGGUGCGCCGAAAACUGGUUGGCUGGAGUAUGGGGGAGGAAAGCGGAAUUCCUGGUGUAGCGGUGAAAUGCGUAGAUAUCAGGAGGAACACCUGCGGUGUAGACAGCUUUCUGGACCAAAACUGACGCUGAGGCACGAAAGCGUGGGUAGCAAACA
rnacentral:rRNA from 1 species